rnacentral:lncRNA from 1 species
GUCUGAUCUCAGAACGGAGGCCCCACUCGAACUUCCUUGCCUUCCUGCCUUCAUCUAUCAUACUCUUAAGGAAAUACUAGCCAAACUCUAGGAACCUUCAGACAUACUCCGAUACAGUCAUAUCACCCUGAACUAGAUGUGCAGGCUUCAUUUCCUUCAAAUGUCGAAGGUACUCUGGGAGGUACUCUACAAUAAAAGUCAUUAGAAACUAUUCUUAAGUGACUGGAACGGGUAGGGUGGCCUAAUUGAGCUACCACCAGUGACUUGCCUCACCCAUGAGCAUGUAGGUGGCAAGUACGACCUUUUGUUCAGGAACUACCCCAAGAGUCGC